rnacentral:lncRNA from 1 species
CACCCCAGGGUUCUGCUUUAAAGCGGGCGGGCGGGCUUUAUUUCCUGCCCUUUGUCUUCUCAAAGCUCCUCCUUGACUCUGUAUCACACUGCUGCUUUGGUGUUUCUGAUUCUUGAUCGCGCUCCACCACCGGCUCAAGCUUCCACUGAGUUUCAACAGCUGCGACAUGUCUAAACUGCAUUAUCUUGCAACUGUUGGCUCCGGUGAGAACGAGAAAGGAGCCAAGUGACUAAAACAAAACAUUUCACCGGGUUCCUAUGGAUACGCCCUGCCACCAGGAAGCGCGCGCUGGGCGGGGCUGACUCCUUCAGCCUCCGAUGGCCUCUUCUGCGUGUUGCGUCCUUUGAGCAUUCUGUAAUGAGUGCCCGGGUAGAACCAGAGAAUCUGAUGACUGCAGUCACAGCAUUAAAGGUGUGCCUUUUCGCCUAUAAACCCACUCUUAAAUAGGUUAUUGUGUUUGAAGUGAUUUACUACAAUCGUUAAGAGACAAAAUAUGAAUAUUGAACAAGCGUUGUGCAAACCAAAGUGGGAAAUGGUAUACAUUAUGUAGCAGAGUAAUCAGGAAAUCACGAAUAUGCAUCCCAAUGAGGGUGAAGUCGCAGGGCAGAUUGGAAAGACUUUCUUUAUUGCAGGUUGAACCUGCGCAGAGCCCAGCACCGGUGAUAAUGGUGCUUGCGUUCCUUUGCAUCUGAUUUUUAGGGACCUCCGUGUCACUGUGGCUUCCUCUAUGUGUUCAGGUUUUAGUUUUAAUAUAUUUGCUUUGAGUUUGGCUUUGUCUUAGUGAGAAAACGCUGCAAGACACAAGUGUAAGCGUGCUGGAUGCCCCUGAGUUACUGGUGGCUGGGGCGGAGCCAGGCAGGGAAUAGGCUGUCCUGGAGGGAAGAUCAGCUUCUACGUCACUUUAAAGGGAAAUGCUUUUAAAUCUCCAUACACAUGGUGGAUUUUUUUU